rnacentral:rRNA from 1 species
AUUGAACGCUGGCGGCAUGCCUUACACAUGCAAGUCGAACGGCAGCGGACCUUCGGUGCCGGCGAGUGGCGAACGGGUGAGUAAUAUAUCGGAACGUACCUUUCAGUGGGGGAGUAACGUAGCGAAAGUUAACGCUAAUACCGCAUAUUCUGUGAGCAGGAAAGACAGGGGAGUCGCAAGACCUUGCGCUGAUUGAGCGGCCGAUAUCAGAUUAGCUAGUUGGUGAGGUAAAGGACUCACCAAGGCGACGAUCUGUAGCGGGUCGUGAGAGGAUGAUCCGCCACACUGGAACUGAGACACGGUCCAGACUCCUACGGGAGGCAGCAGU